rnacentral:lncRNA from 1 species
GGAGCCAAAGUAUUUCUGUCUCCCGGAACACGAUGCCGACUGCGUGGGCUGGAGCCAGCGCAGCUGCUGGCCCUGCCGCCCAGCCCGGCAGCAGCACACUCAGCCCCCCCCCAGCUGCUGCUGCUGGCUGCAGGCAGAUCCAGCCGGAGCGGGCGCUCCGCAGAGUCCCGCGGGGGUCAAGGUAUCGCCUCCAGGCAGCCCUGCAGGCACCUCGCCCUGCUCCCCACGGCUCCCUCCACGGUUUCUUCCUUGUCCCCUGCCACAAGCGCAUUUCUGGGCUCCCGCCUGCUCCUGUCCUCCACGGUGGUGGCUGCUGUGCUGCAGUUUGUCUGCUGGCAUCUGCACGUUCGCAGCCCUCCAGCUCCACCUCGCUCACCACCAGUACCCGGGAAAUCCUGCGCUCCGCAGACUUUACGAGCCAAAGGGAACGAUAAGAGCAAUUAUAGGAUCAGCCAACUGAACAGGGUGAUAAACCUCAAAGGCAGGCGCUGCUGGCAGCUCCAGCACAGGUGCAGCAGCGUGGAUAGCGGUGGGGCCCUGGAGCUGCUGGGUGGGCAGCACUGGACCCGCAGCAGUGCCCUGCCCCUGCCUGGCCCCGCUGUGCCCAGCCCCAGGAGGGCCCGGAGGGUGCAGGCUGGUGGACACAGGCUGGUGGCCGUGGCCCUGUCCCUGCUGUGCCCCAGGGCUGCCCCCGCUGCAAGCAUCCCGCAGGCAGCGUGGCUCUGGUGUCAGCACCGGCUCCUGUUACUGCAUAAACACCCACGCUGGGGAGGGGACCACAGGCAAACGCAAACAGUUACUGAUUUACUGUAGCUCCACACCUUGCCGCAUUGUUGACUGUGGGGUUAAAUUACUUGGAAACAGACACUGGUCGAGACAAACAGCUCGUGACCUUGCAGCAGGGACCACCUGAGCCCUCACGGCCCUGCGCCUGCACGGGGCUCCAGGAUGCUCCAGCCCAGAGCUGGGGCUGCCCGUGGUGCAGAUGCGGUGCUGAGGGCACAUCCCUGCAGGAGGACCCCACUCACCCCCCACCCUGUGGAGGAGAGGCUGGGGCUGUGCCCAG